ACCUUGACAUGGCAGGAAUCCUGAAGAGAUUGGGAGUGCUCGAAAGAGAACCUGCACACAGGUGCUGCAUGGCUGUCGUCAGCUCGUGUCGUGAGAUGUUGGGUUAAGUCCCGCAACGAGCGCAACCCUUGCCAUUAGUUGCUACGAAAGGGCACCUCUAAAUGGGACUGCCGGUGACAAACCGGAGGAAGGUGGGGAUGACGUCAAGUCCUCAUGGCCCUUAUAGGUGGGGCUACACACGUCAUACAAUGGCCGGUACAGAGGGUAAGCCAACCCGCGAGGGGGAGCCAAUCCCACAAAGCCGGUCGUAGUCCGGAUCGCAGUCUGCAACCUCGACUGCGUGAAGUCGGAAUCGCUAGUAAUCGCGGAUCAGCAUGUCGCGGUGAAUACGUUCCCGGGUCUU
rnacentral:rRNA from 1 species